GAGGGAGAUGGGAGGCACACUCACACACUCAUGGGGAGCGAACACCAUGUGAAGAUGGAGGCAGAGGAGCGCAGAGUGCUGCUGGCGGAGCCUCCAGAAGGAAGCAACCCUGCGGACACCCUGAUCUUGCACUCCCAGCUUCCAGAACUGCUACUCUAGGUCCUGCUGCUGCUGAGUGUUUGAGCUGCCCACAACAGAGACCUAUGCUCAGUCCCCAGUGUGGUAUCAUUCCUUGAAGAGACCAAUCACAUCACUUGGUGACAAAGUGGUUUUAUCAGACCCUUACACCAUGGACAUCCUGGUUUGGGAUUGGCAUGGAUCCCAGGUCCUGGACCAGCACUUUCUCUGCGUCUCAUUUGAUCCUCACAGUAGUCCCUUGAGGUCGCAUGUGUCUGACAGCCCCAGCCACACGCCCUCCCCCACCCCCAGUCUCUUUGAAGAAAGACAGUUAUCUUGGCCAAGACUGUUCUGCCUGUGCCCAGGGCUUCCGGCAUCUGGCCGUGGUCUCAGUCUGCGGGCCCGUCCACUGAGCACAAUCACCGCUUGUCCGAUUAGAACCAUCAAGAUGAAAACAGAGCAGCGACUCCUCCUGCGUGCUCCCGAUGAACCCAGGAGCACCCCCAGCUGCCACCUCUGGAUGUCCCUUGUCUGGGUCGGCUGCCUUUGGGGAGCUGGGAAAACCCACUUAUUUCCUGGCCAUGUGGCUGGAGGGAGUUGGGUGACCUGGGACAGCCUAUCCCCUUGGUCACUCCAGGCUGAGCCCUGGGUGGGUGGGUGGGGGGCCACAAGAAAAUAGACAUAAGGCCAAAUUGUCCAACCCCUACCUCCCCAUUGCCUGUGCUUUAGGUUAUAAAAACACUUUUUGCCAUGAAUUUAAUUGAUUCUCCCUUGACUGGCUGUUGAAGGCGGGAUCCUCUGCCCAUCUUGCCAUAUUCUUCGAGCCCUUCGCCACUCUAAGCUCAUCACCUUUAGUUGGCCGUCCUGUCUGCGCUAUUUCCCCCACAAUCACACUCCACCCCACAGCCAGGGGAUCUUCCUACGAUGCACAUCUAUCUCUGUUUAUCCUCUUCCAUGGCUCCCCAUCGCCCUGGAUAAAGCCCAUACUUCUGGUAAAGGUCAACAAGGCCUUUUGUGGGGAUCUGGCCCCUCCUGACCUCUCCAGACUCAGUUCUCGCCCAGCUCCUUACACUUUAUGGUUCAGGUGAACAAGAAAUCUUCACUUUCUUGACUAAGGUUUGCCCACUGUCACCUCCAGGCUUUUGGACACGCUGUUCCCUUUGCCAGGAACACUGUUCCUCCUCUGCGCCUGGCUGAAGUCAAUUCACCCUCAAGUGUUCCUGAUGUGCCAGGGUCUCCCUCAUCAUAUCACACAUUACUGCAUCACUUGUUCA
ensembl:lncRNA